GACGAACGCUGGCGGCGUGCCUAAUACAUGCAAGUCGAACGAGUGGCGGACGGGUGAGUAAUGUCUGGGAAACUGCCUGAUGGAGGGGGAUAACUACUGGACACGGUAGCUAAUACCGCAUACCAUCAGAUGUGCCCAGAUUGGAUUAGCUAGUAGGUGAGGUAACGGCUCACCUAGGCGACGCUCCCUAGCUGGUCUGAGAGGAUGACCAGCCACACUGGAACUGAGACACGGUCCAGACGCCUACGGGAGGCAGCAGUGGGGAAUAUUGCACAAUGGGCGCAAGCCUGAUGCAGCCAGGCCGCGUGUAUGAAGAAGGCCUUCGGGUUGUAAAGUACUUUCAGCGGGGAGGCGUUACCCGCAGAAGAAGCACCGGCUAACUCCGUGCCAGCAGCCGCGGUAAUUC
rnacentral:rRNA from 1 species